CAACUUUGAAUAAUAACAACUUGACCUUUAGAACAAUUAAAGACUUGAGGAAAAAGUAGGAGGGGAGAGGGAAGAAAUAUUUAACAAAUAAAGAAGUGAAAAGUGACAAACUACCAAUUAAAUCCAUCUCCCCAUGUUUCUCCAGCAAGAAUUUACUAAGUAUCACUAGGAGAUAAAGAGUUGCAAACAAAAGAAUCUUUUUGAAUUCUACACACUGGGAAUGAAAUGAAUCUACCAGAUAGUGGGCUCAUAUUGAAAUAUUUUAUCUCAACUUUAGAUGACAUUUAAUUUGAUUAUUUGAUAUUUUUUAAGGAUUCUUCCCAAGCAAGUGUCAGCAUCAGGAGACCAUCAAAUUGUAUUAGCAAUCCCGAUCAAUGGAACAGAAAUAUCAUAGUGAACUCACUCAAACAAAGGUAUGCAUUCAGUUGUAGUGAAACAGUUUAUGCAUUGCUUGUAGUGAAACAGUUUAUGCAUUGCUAAAUUUUACCGGCUGCUUUAGAAUUUUUAUAAAUAUUAAAAUCAACUAAAGGACAACAGUCUGUGGACAUACAUCGACUGUAGCAACUUUCUCAGGGAUUAAGCGAUCAUUUCUAUCACCUAAACCCAAAU
rnacentral:lncRNA from 1 species